CACGUAGGGGGCGAGCGUUGUCCGGAAUCAUUGGGCGUAAAGAGCUCGUAGGCGGCUCGGUAAGUCGGGUGUGAAACCCCCAGGCUCAACCUGGGGACGCCACCCGAUACUGCUGUGGCUAGAGUCCAGUAGGGGAGUGUGGAAUUCCCGGUGUAGCGGUGAAAUGCGCAGAUAUCGGGAGGAACACCUAUGGCGAAGGCAGCUCGCUGGGACGUUACUGACGCUGAGACGCGAAAGCGUGGGGAGCAAACAGG
rnacentral:rRNA from 1 species